rnacentral:rRNA from 1 species
UGCGUAGGUGGCAUGGUAAGUUGGAUGUGAAAUGUUGAGGCUCAACCUCAAAGGUGCAUCCAAAACUGCUGAGCUAGAGUGCAGGAGAGGAAAGCGGAGUUCCGAGUGUAGCGGUGAAAUGCGUAGAGAUUCGGAAGAACACCAGUAGCGAAGGCGGCUUUCUGGACUGUAACUGACACUGAGGCACGAAAGCGUGGGGAGCGAACA